rnacentral:rRNA from 1 species
UAUUGCACAAUGGGGGAAACCCUGAUGCAGCGACGCCGCGUGAGUGAAGAAGUAUUUCGGUAUGUAAAGCUCUAUCAGCAGGGAAGAUAAUGACGGUACCUGACUAAGAAGCCCCGGCUAACUACGUGCCAGCAGCCGCGGUAAUACGUAGGGGGCAAGCGUUAUCCGGAUUUACUGGGUGUAAAGGGAGCGUAGGUGGCAGGGCAAGUCAGAUGUGAAAGCCCGCGGCCCAACCGCGGGACUGCAUUGGGAACUACCGGGCUGGAGUGCCGGAGAGGUAGGCGGAAUUCCUAGUGUAGCGGUGAAAUGCGUAGAUAUUAGGAGGAACACCAGUGGCGAAGGCGGCCUACUGGACGGUGACUGACGCUGAGGCUCGAAAGCGUGGGGAGCAAACAGG